rnacentral:lncRNA from 1 species
GUGGAGGUGCGGGCACUGAGCAUGCAGGCCAAGGAGUAUCUGUACCAUAAGCAUUUGGGCAACGAGAUGCCCCGCAACAACCUUCUCAUUGAGAUGCUGCAGGCCAAGCAGACUUGAGCCUGGGUGCCAGGCAGCGGGCAGUAGGCAGGGAUGCCACUGCCUCCAAAAGACUCCUUGCAUUAGGUGAUCCAGGAGCCCUGUCCCUAAGCCCCUGCCCCUGAGCUCCAGAGCUGUGUGUUUGGGAUGAUGGGCAAGGAUGGGCGGGGACUGCCCGGGACAGGUUGCCUUCGCUAGCCACUGGCAUGUGUCUGCCACUUGGAGUGCCCCAGAGGGGUGACUUCUAACCACUCCUUCCUCCGUCUGCCCCCAGCUUUUUUUCCUGGUAUCUGAGGUCCCAGGAGGAGGCUUGGGAUUCCUUGGUGGGCCUGAAUGUCUGUUGGGUCAGAGGUCAUCCUUUCCCUCUCUCCUGUGAUCAGAGGCAGAGGAAGGUCUGUAGGCAUCAAUGAAGGCAGGGGAGGGGGGGUCUCCAGACUCCCCUGAAGCAGGGAAGGAAGUCCACUAUUGCAAACUGAGUUUGCUAAAUUGGGUCUCUAGAGGACACCAUGAGAGCGGAUAGGGCAAAAAGACCCCCUCCAGCCCCCCCCCCCCAUCUAAUUCUGAUCCACUCCCUGGAAAGGGACUUUGUUGUGAUCAUCCUUUUCCUGCAUCCCAGCUACCCAAGGAGGAGGAGGAGUCUGGCCCUGCCCUCCACCAGCUGGCUGGGCUGGUACUUAUCUGCAAGGUUGCAGUCACCAGGAUUCUCUUCCUUUUACCUAGACAGUCCUUGGAAAGUGUGUGAGAGAGAAAUGGGCAGGAGACAGACUGAGGACUGAACUGGGAUGUGGGGAUUAGCACCAAAGCUCUUUCUCCUGACAUCUCCUUCCUGAUCAUCUGGUCAUCUUCAUGUAUCUUGCCUCACUCCUGAGAAGAGCUGUUGCUUGCCCUCUGUCCCAGCCCCACUAUAGGAGCAACGGGAGGCCUGCAAGGGCUUAGAGUCCUUUCAGGUGGGGAUAUGGGUAAACCUAGGAGAACUCACGGAUCUUUAUAUGACGACAGUGCUGAGGACUCUCUCAUGGCUCUAUCCUUUUGGGUCCCUUGUCACAACCCUUGAAGCUGGCGUCAGUCCCCUGGCUGCUGCUUUGCCUCCCAAAAGUCACUCUUCAGGGCCAAGCACUGAGGGGAGAGGCCUAAGCUAUCCUCUGUUUCAGACUGGGCAUCCACUGUCUUUCCUGCUUUCGUGUCAGAUUUACAGCUUACGCUAGGCCUGCCCAACUGGACAAGGCUGUCUCCUGUCUUCAACCACCCUGGCUCAGACCCCACCUCUGCCCCUGAAAUGCGUGAUCCCACCAAGGCCAGAGACCCACAGCCCCAAGACAAGAAGUGCCCUUAUAAACCCCUGCAGCCCUGCAGCCCUGAAAUAAAUUUUGCAAUUAGUUUCCAGU